AGUGAACCAGGGGAGGAAAGAAUGAUGAAAUCCUCAAGAGUUUUACUAGUGAUCCUGUGGCUUCAGUUAUCCUGGAUGAGGAGCCAACAGAAGGGAGUGGAGCAGAGUCCUGCAUCUCUGCCUGUCCCAGAGGGAACCAUCGCCCCUCUCAACUGCACUUAUAGUGACAGUGCUUCUCAGUACUUCACAUGGUACAGACAGUAUCCUGGGAAAGGCCCUGAGGUGCUGCUGUCCGGAAACAUGAAUGAAGACAAAGAGGAAGGAAGAUUUACAGCCCAGGUGAAUAAAGCUAACCAGUAUGUCUCCCUGCUCAUCAGAGACUCCCAGCCCAGCGACUCAGCCACCUACCUCUGUGCCGUGAGCACACAGUGCUCUCCCAGCACCUGCAGUCUGUACCCAAACCUGCUGGAGCCCCAGCAAUGCCUGAUGUAG